GAUGAACGCUGGCGGCGUGCCUAAUACAUGCAAGUCGAGCGAACAGACGAGGAGCUUGCUCCUCUGACGUUAGCGGCGGACGGGUGAGUAACACGUGGAUAACCUACCUAUAAGACUGGGAUAACUUCGGGAAACCGGAGCUAAUACCGGAUAAUAUAUUGAACCGCAUUGUUCAAUAGUGAAAGACGGUUUUGCUGUCACUUAUAGAUGGAUCCGCGCCGCAUUAGCUAGUUGGUAAGGUAACGGCUUACCAAGGCAACGAGGCGUAGCCGACCUGAGAGGGUGAUCGGCCACACUGGAACUGAGACACGGUCCAGACUCCUACGGGAGGCAGCAGUAGGGAAUCUUCCGCAAUGGGCGAAAGCCUGACGGAGCAACGCCGCGUGAGUGAUGAAGGUCUUCGGAUCGUAAAACUCUGUUAUUAGGGAAGAACAAAUGUGUAAGUAACUAUGCACGUCUUGACGGUACCUAAUCAGAAAGCAACGGCUAACUACGUG
rnacentral:rRNA from 1 species